rnacentral:rRNA from 1 species
GACGAACGCUGGCGGCGUGCCUAAUACAUGCAAGUAGAACGCUGAAGAGAGGAGCUUACUCUUCUUGGAUGAGUUGCGAACGGGUGAGUAACGCGUAGGUAACCUGCCUUGUAGCGGGGGAUAACUAUUGGAAACGAUAGCUAAUACCGCAUAACAAUGGAUGACACAUGUCAUUUAUUUGAAAGGGGCAAUUGCUCCACUACAAGAUGGACCUGCGUUGUAUUAGCUAGUAGGUGAGGUAAUGGCUCACCUAGGCGACGAUACAUAGCCGACCUGAGAGGGUGAUCGGCCACACUGGGACUGAGACACGGCCCAGACUCCUACGGGAGGCAGCAGUAGGGAAUCUUCGGCAAUGGGGGCAACCCUGACCGAGCAACGCCGCGUGAGUGAAGAAGGUUUUCGGAUCGUAAAGCUCUGUUGUAAGUCAAGAACGGGUGUGAGAGUGGAAAGUUCACACCGUGACGGUAGCUUACCAGAAAGGGACGGCUAACUACGUG